AUUGCUUCUCGGCCUUUUGGCUAAGAUCAAGUGUAGGAAUCCAGCACCAGUCUCACAUACCUAUUGGAAUGGUUAAAAGAAAGCCCUUUUAAAACCCAAGGCUUGGUCUUUUCCUUAAGACUAUCCUCUGUGAAAUCAUU
ensembl:snRNA U2 U2 spliceosomal RNA